CCUCUAUACAGUAUGACGCGUUUCCUGCCGCUCAGAGUUUUAAGCACGUGACUUUCCUUCUGUCAUCGCAGCGCUUGUCAGUCAGUCAAUACUUUUAUUUUAUUAUCGCUCACGCUCGAAUCCGCUAACGUUAUAAUGCCUGACAAAUACAUCAUAUCAGAUGGCGCUGCCGGUCACAGAAUAUUUUUGCCUCGCUGGGAUCCGUGCAUUGGAUGAGAGCAGAGGGAAGAUGCCCUUUAGAUGAAAAUGCAUUUAAGAAAUAAAGCCAUGCUGCAGUUAAACCAUGAAUGGACCACAAGGAAAGGAUUGCAAGUCUUUCCACAGACCGAUCUUAAAAGGCAUGAUGGAGCAGGCCAACCAGAAGAAAAUUAAUGGUGGUUUAAGGAGGGCCGAAAGACUGAAAAAUGUAUGAAGGUGGUGAUGGAAUAAGAAUUUCACGCCUACUGUAUCUACCACAAAUGGUUUUCACACAUCAGAUAUGGCUAAGAAAGAAAGGCCAGAUGAACAGAAGUGUUAAUGCAUCAUUUUAAUAACAUGUUAGCUAGGUUAUGAUUGUGUUUUUCUUUGUUCUCCUACUAUGUGCCUAACUGGUUUCAUAAUAAACGCUUAAGAAUGCUGCUAUUGUAAAGAGAGAUUUGUCUGCAUGUUAAUGCUUUAAGCUUAUUAGUGUUAUUUGUAAUACAGUUUAUAAAACAUGUUAUAUGCGAUUUAAUGGGUGAAAACCCAAUGAUUACUUUUUGUGUGGGAAAACAAUCACCCUAUAAAAAUAUAAUCUAUACGAAA